rnacentral:rRNA from 1 species
UGAUUCUAUCGUGCCAACACCGCGAACCUACUUAUGCCCUCCUGUUGUAGGCAUGCUCAAAAGGCGUGUCUAGAUGGGUGCGUAGGCCAGGGGCAGGCAUCUUAUGAUGUCAGUUAGCCUGGCUGGGCGGGUCCAACACCAAUUGGGGCCUUUUGCCUUUCAGGCAAAGGGACUGCUCGGUUGUGAGGGGUGGCUGUUUAACCUACUUCCAAUCAAUUUUUCUGAAGACAGUUCUACUGGCCGGCUCUGCCGGCUGUAGUCUGGCUAACUAAGGAUAACUCUCAACAACGGAUAUCUUGGCUCCCGUAACGAUGAAGAACGCAGCGAAAUGCGAUACGUAGUGUGAAUUGCAGAAUUCCGUGAACCAUCGAAUCUUUGAACGCAAAUUGCGCUCGAGGCUUCGGCCAAGAGCAUGUCUGCCUCAGCGUCGGCUACUACCCUCAACUAAAUUUCAUUGGAUUUCCAAUGCAAAGGCAGUUGGAAUUGGCCGUCCGGUUUGCCCAUUGGGUACCCGGUCAGCUGAAAUACAAUCACGCUUUGUGGGCUCCUUUCCAUCUGGAAAGGCGAGUUCCGAUUUGGUAGGUGACCUUUGCCGGUUGCAUGCCUUCGUUGCUCGCUAUGCCUAUCAUUGGCCGUGUGCAGGACGCCCUUUGGCUUUCGA